rnacentral:rRNA from 1 species
UGCGCAGGCGGCUCGCUAAGUCGGAUGUGAAAGCCCCGGGCUUAACCUGGGAAUUGCAUUCGAUACUGGCAAGCUAGAGUCUGGUAGAGGUAAGCGGAAUUCCGGGUGUAGCGGUGAAAUGCGUAGAUAUCCGGAGGAACAUCAGUGGCGAAGGCGGCUUACUGGACCAAGACUGACGCUCAUGCACGAAAGCGUGGGUAGCAAACA